AUGAGCAAAGGUCUCGCCGUCCUGCUGCUCGUCGUCUCGCUUGCUCUGAGCUCCGGCGUCGGCUUCUGCGACGCGAGGAGUGGCAAGCACUGGAGGCAGAACAGGGGACCCUCCACCACCAUGUUCACAAGGAAAGGGAAAGGGAAGAACGGCGGCGGCUCCCCUCCCCACAGCCACAGGCAGUACGGCAAAGGGCACCAGAGUCCUGCAAUGCCGGCACCACCUAGUCCAGGUGGUGGUAAUGGCCACGCGUCGCCGUCUCCACCACCACCACAAGCACCGCCGUCGCCGCCACCGGAAGCGCCAUCGCAGGGCAUGGUGUUCAGCGUGGUUGCUUUCGGAGCACGGGGUGACGGAGUUACGGAUGAUACCCAGGCUUUUGAAGCAGCAUGGGCAGCAGCAUGCAAGGUGGAGGCAUCGACGGUUCUUGUACCACCUGAACUCGAGUUCCUUGUUGGCCCAAUCUCAUUUUCGGGCCCUAACUGCAAGCCUAACACUAUAUUCCAGCUGGAUGGAACCAUUUCGGCUAAAAUUGGCGCGAGAGCGUGGGGCUCCGGUUUGCUUCAAUGGCUCGAGUUCACGAAACUAAACGGGAUAUCAAUUCAAGGCAGUGGUGUCAUAAAUGGUCAGGGUAAAGAAUGGUGGACCUAUUCAGAUUCAGAUGAUGAUGAUGAUGAUGAUAUGGACUCAUACACUGAUCAGGAGCUGGAGAAAAUGCCACAGAUUAAACCCACGGCGCUAAGGUUUUAUGGCAGUUCCAAUGUCAGAGUAACUGGUAUCAGCAUCAUCAACAGCCCGCAGUGCCAUCUGAAGUUCGAUAGCUGUCAGGGAGUCAUGGUUCAUAAUCUGACCAUCUCGUCCCCUGAGAAUAGCCCCAACACGGAUGGAAUACACCUGCAAAACUCCAAGGAUGUCAACAUUCACCACACUGACCUGGCCUGCGGUGAUGACUGCAUCUCCAUACAGACAGGCUGCAGCGACGUAAACAUACAUAAUGUGAACUGUGGACCAGGCCAUGGGAUCAGCAUUGGUGGCCUAGGAAGGUACAACACCAAGGCAUGUGUCUCCAACAUCACUGUAAGAGAUGUCAACAUGUUCAAAACAAUGACCGGUGUCAGGAUCAAGACUUGGCAGGGUGGCUCAGGGCUGGUCCAGGGCAUAAGGUUCUCCAACAUACACAUGUCAGAGGUUCAGACGCCCAUCAUGAUAGACCAGUUCUACUGCGACAAAACAUCGUGCACGAACCAAAGCUCGGCGGUGGCGGUUUCAGGCGUGCAGUAUGAGAACAUCCGGGGGACUUUCACGAUCAAGCCCGCCCAGUUCGCGUGCAGCGACAGCUCGCCAUGCUCGGAGAUCACCCUGACCGGCAUACAACUGAGACCCCUGAUCGUGCCUCAGUACCACACAUGCAGCAGCCCCUUCUGCUGGGAGGCCUUUGGGGAGCUGUACACUCCCACCAUCCCUCCUAUUUCAUGCUUGCAGCUCGGCAAGCCAGCCGGGAACCGCGUACUGUCGGACCACGAUCAGUGCUGA
rnacentral:rRNA from 1 species